GUGAACCACUGCCAUAAAUAAAUGCUGGAUGGAGUUUCACUCUGUUGUCCAGGCUGGAGUGCAGUGGCCCGAUCCCGGCUCACUGCAACCUCCGCCUCUCAGAUUCAAGAGAUUUUCCUGCGUCAGCCUCCGGAGUAGCUGGGACUACAGGAGGGCGCAACAGCACGACCUGACAGGAUUUCACUUUGUUACCCAGCCUGGAGUGCAGUGGUGUGAUCUCAGCUCACUGCAGCCUCAAACUCCUGAGCCCAGGUGAUCCUCCUGCCUCAGCCUCCCAAGUAGCUGGGACUACAGGUAUGCACCACCACACCCAGCUAAUUGUUUUGUAUUUUUUGUGGAUAUGAAGAUAACCAUGUUGCCCAGGCUGGUCUUGAACUCUACCCACUGUGGCCUCCCAAAGUGCUAGGAUUACAGGUCUGAGCAACUGGAACCAGCCUGUUUCUACUUAUAUCUUAUUGUACUGUCUAUGUCUUGUAAAGUGGUUGUAGUCAUUUUGUAACUUUUAUUUUAGUUUUGGGGAUACAUGUGAAGGUUUGUUACAUAAGCAAACUCAUGUCACAGGGGUUUGUUGUACAGAUUAUUUCAUCACCAAGAAAUUAAGCCCAGCACCCA
rnacentral:lncRNA from 10 species